AGUGAACGCUGGCGGCAGGCCUAACACAUGCAAGUCGAACGGAAACACAGUAAGAGCUUGCUCUUAAGGGUGGCGGGUGGCGGACGGGUGAGGAAUACAUCGGAAUCUACUUUUUCGUGGGGGAUAACGUAGGGAAGGUUACGCUACUACCGCAUACGACCUACGGGUGAAAGCAGGGGAUCUUCGGACCUUGCGCGACUGAAUGAGACGAUGUCGGAUUAGCUAGUUGGGUGGGUAAAGGCCCACCAAGGCGACGAUCCGUAGCUGGUCUGAGAGGAUGAUCGGCCACACUGGAACUGAGACACGGUCCAGACUCCUACGGGAGGCAGCAGUGGGGAAUAUUGGACAAUGGGCGCAAGCCUGAUCCAGCCAUACCGCGUGGGUGAAGAAGGCCUUCGGGUUGUAAAGCCCUUUUGUUGGGAAAGAAAAGCAGCAGGUUAAUACCCCGCUGUUCUGACGGUACCCAAGGAAUAAGCACCGGCUAACUUCGUG
rnacentral:rRNA from 1 species